GAUGAACGCUGGCGGCGUGCUUAACACAUGCAAGUCGAACGGAAAGGCUCCUGCUUGCAGGGGUACUCGAGUGGCGAACGGGUGAGUAACACGUGGGUGAUCUGCCCUGCACUUCGGGAUAAGCCUGGGAAACUGGGUCUAAUACCGGAUAGGACGAUGGUUUGGAUGCCAUUGUGGAAAGUUUUUCGGUGUGGGAUGAGCUCGCGGCCUAUCAGCUUGUUGGUGGGGUAAUGGCCUACCAAGGCGUCGACGGGUAGCCGGCCUGAGAGGGUGUACGGCCACAUUGGGACUGAGAUACGGCCCAGACUCCUACGGGAGGCAGCAGUGGGGAAUAUUGCACAAUGGGCGCAAGCCUGAUGCAGCGACGCCGCGUGGGGGAUGACGGCCUUCGGGUUGUAAACUCCUUUCGCUAGGGACGAAGCGUUUUGUGACGGUACCUGGAGAAGAAGCACCGGCUGACUACGUG
rnacentral:rRNA from 1 species